UCCACGACAUUGGGGUGCACGGCUGCAGGGCUGUGCUGAGAACAUACCCAUUGAACCUGCUCUAGCUAGAACUAGCGAAGGGAUUGUCGUGACUCAGCCA
rnacentral:ncRNA from 2 species